rnacentral:miRNA from 1 species
GCUCACUGAACAAUGAAUGCAA